UAGGGAAUCUUCCACAAUGGGCGCAAGCCUGAUGGAGCAACACCGCGUGAGUGAAGAAGGGUUUCGGCUCGUAAAGCUCUGUUGUUAAAGAAGAACACGUAUGAGAGUAACUGUUCAUACGUUGACGGUAUUUAACCAGAAAGUCACGGCUAACUACGUGCCAGCAGCCGCGGUAAUACGUAGGUGGCAAGCGUUAUCCGGAUUUAUUGGGCGUAAAGAGAGUGCAGGCGGUUUUCUAAGUCUGAUGUGAAAGCCUUCGGCUUAACCGGAGAAGUGCAUCGGAAACUGGAUAACUUGAGUGCAGAAGAGGGUAGUGGAACUCCAUGUGUAGCGGUGGAAUGCGUAGAUAUAUGGAAGAACACCAGUGGCGAAGGCGGCUACCUGGUCUGCAACUGACGCUGAGACUCGAAAGCAUGGGUAGCGAACAGG
rnacentral:rRNA from 4 species